UGCUUGUCAAACCUAUUACAACUCCAAACUUUAUAUGCAAAAGAAAAUAAUACUCUAACAAAUAUAUAAAUAAAUCAACUCCAAGACUUUAUUUGUAAUAACUACUGAAUUAUUGCUAAGUUACUAUAAAAUAACAUCUGAAUCUCAACCCAAUGACUAUGUUUAUGAAGCCUCUACUGAUAAACUGACGCACUGUUAAGGACAUGAGAUUUCCUGGCCAGUUCUCUAAGUAACUAAAGAAAUAACUAAAUAAAGAUGACUCACUCCAUAAACAAAAGCGGAGCUCACCAAUAGCACUGGAAGGGAAGGAAGUCCUAACUCAUAGCCUGCUCGCC
rnacentral:lncRNA from 1 species